UACAGAGGUGGCAAGCGUUGUUCGGAAUUAUUGGGCGUAAAGAGCUCGUAGGCGGUUUGUCGCGUCUGCUGUGAAAACCUAAGGCUCAACCUUGGGCUUGCAGUGGGUACGGGCAGACUAGAGUGCGGUAGGGGUGACUGGAAUUCCUGGUGUAGCGGUGGAAUGCGCAGAUAUCAGGAGGAACACCGAUGGCGAAGGCAGGUCACUGGGCCGCAACUGACGCU
rnacentral:rRNA from 1 species